rnacentral:rRNA from 1 species
CCUACGGGCGGCAGCAGUGGGGAAUAUUGGACAAUGGGCGAAAGCCUGAUCCAGCCAUGCCGCGUGUGUGAAGAAGGCCUUCGGGUUGUAAAGCACUUUCAGUGGGGAAGAAAGCCUUGGGGCUAAUACCCUCGAGGAAGGACAUCACCCACAGAAGAAGCACCGGCGAACUCCGUGCCAGCAGCCGCGGUAAUACGGAGGGUGCGAGCGUUAAUCGGAAUUACUGGGCGUAAAGCGCGCGUAGGCGGUCUGAUAAGCCGGUUGUGAAAGCCCCGGGCUCAACCUGGGAACGGCAUCCGGAACUGUCAGGCUAGAGUGCAGGAGAGGAAGGUAGAAUUCCCGGUGUAGCGGUGAAAUGCGUAGAGAUCGGGAGGAAUACCAGUGGCGAAGGCGGCCUUCUGGACUGACACUGACGCUGAGGUGCGAAAGCGUGGGUAGCAAACAGGAUUAGAUACCCGGGUAGUC